rnacentral:rRNA from 1 species
UACGAAGGGGGCUAGCGUUGCUCGGAAUCACUGGGCGUAAAGCGCACGUAGGCGGCUUGCUAAGUCAGGGGUGAAAUCCUGGAGCUCAACUCCAGAACUGCCUUUGAUACUGGCGACCUUGAGUCCGGGAGAGGUGAGUGGAACUGCGAGUGUAGAGGUGAAAUUCGUAGAUAUUAGGAAGAACACCAGUGGCGAAGGCGGCUCACUGGUCCGGUACUGACGCUGAGGUGCGAAAGCGUGGGGAGCAAACAGG